CUACGUGCCAGCAGCCGCGGUAAUACGUAGGUGGCAAGCGUUGUCCGGAAUUAUUGGGCGUAAAGGGCGCGCAGGCGGCUUCUUAAGUCUGUCUUAAAAGUGCGGGGCUUAACCCCGUGAUGGGAUGGAAACUGGGAAGCUCAGAGUAUCGGAGAGGAAAGCGGAAUUCCUAGUGUAGCGGUGAAAUGCGUAGAUAUUAGGAGGAACACCAGUGGCGAAAGCGGCUUUCUGGACGAAAACUGACGCUGAGGCGCGAAAGCCAGGGGAGCGAACGGGAUUAGAUACCCCGGUAGUCCUGGCCGUAAACGAUGGGUACUAGGUGUAGGAGGUAUCGACCCCCUCUGUGCCGGAGUUAACGCAAUAAGUACCCCGCCUGGGGAGUACGGCCGCAAGGUUGAAACUCAAAGAAAUUGACGGGGACCCGCACAAGCGGUGGAGCAUGUGGUUUAAUUCGACGCAACGCGAAGAACCUUACCAGGUCUUGACAUUGAUGGACAGAACUAGAGAUAG
rnacentral:rRNA from 1 species